rnacentral:rRNA from 1 species
CACCGCGGUUAUACGAGAGGCCUAAGUUGACAGACAGCGGCGUAAAGAGUGGUUAAGGAAAACGCAAAACUAAAGCCGAACGCCUUCAGAACUGUCAUACGUUUUCGAAGGUAUGAAGCUCACCCACGAAAGUGGCUUUAUUUCCCCUGAACCCACGAAAGCUAAGGAA